GGGAAUCUUGCGCAAUGGGCGAAAGCCUGACGCAGCGACGCCGCGUGGGGGAAGAAGGCUUUCGGGUUGUAAACCCCUUUCAGGAAGGACGAAGCCACUCGGGUGCAUAGCCCAGAGGGUGACGGUACUUCCAGAAGAAGCCCCGGCUAACUACGUGCCAGCAGCCGCGGUAAUACGUAGGGGGCAAGCGUUGUUCGGAUUUACUGGGCGUAAAGGGCGCGUAGGCGGCGUGUCAAGUCGAUUGUGAAAUCUCCGGGCUUAACUCGGAACGGCCAAUCGAUACUGACGUGCUAGAGUGCAGAAGGGGCAAUCGGAAUUCUUGGUGUAGCGGUGAAAUGCGUAGAUAUCAAGAGGAACACCUGAGGUGAAGACGGGUUGCUGGGCUGACACUGACGCUGAUGCGCGAAAGCCAGGGGAGCAAAC
rnacentral:rRNA from 1 species